AACGAACGCUGGCGGCAUGCCUAACACAUGCAAGUCGAACGAGACCUUCGGGUCUAGUGGCGCACGGGUGCGUAACGCGUGGGAAUCUGCCCUUGGGUUCGGAAUAACAGUUAGAAAUGACUGCUAAUACCGGAUAAUGUCUUCGGACCAAAGAUUUAUCGCCCAGGGAUGAGCCCGCGUAGGAUUAGCUAGUUGGUGAGGUAAAGGCUCACCAAGGCGACGAUCCUUAGCUGGUCUGAGAGGAUGAUCAGCCACACUGGGACUGAGACACGGCCCAGACUCCUACGGGAGGCAGCAGUGGGGAAUAUUGGACAAUGGCGAAAGCCUGAUCCAGCAAUGCCGCGUGAGUGAUGAAGGCCUUAGGGUUGUAAAGCUCUUUUACCCGGGAUGAUAAUGACAGUACCGGGAGAAUAAGACCCCGGCUAACUCCGUGCCAGCAGCCGCGGUAAU
rnacentral:rRNA from 1 species